rnacentral:rRNA from 1 species
UACGGGGGGGGCAAGCGUUGUUCGGAAUUACUGGGCGGAAAGGGCUCGUAGGCGGCCAACUAAGUCGGAUGUGAAAUCCCCAGGCUUAACCUGGGAACUGCAUCCGAUACUGGAUGGCUUGAAUCCGGGAGAGGGAUGCAGAAUUCCAGGUGUAGCGGUGAAAUGCGUAGAUAUCUGGAGGAAUACCGGUGGCGAAAGCGGCUCACUGGAUCGAAACUGACGCUGAGGUGCGAAAGCUAGGGUAGCAAACGGG